rnacentral:rRNA from 1 species
AGAGUUUGAUCAUGGCUCAGGACGAACGCUGGCGGCGCGCCUUAUGCAUGCAAGUCGAGCGAAGCUUUUCAGUAGUUUACUACAGAAAAUGACUGAGCGGCGAACGGGUGAGUAACGCGUGAGCAAUCUACCUUAGUUACAGGGAUAGCCCGAGGAAACUCGGAUUAAUACCUGAUAUUCUUUAUAUUUCGCAUGAAAUUAAAAGGAAAGGUCAGCCGAACUAAGAUGAGCUCGCGUUCUAUCAGCUAGUUGGUGAGGUAAAAGCUCACCAAGGCUACGACGGAUAGCUGGUCUGAGAGGACGAUCAGCCACACUGGGACUGAGACACGGCCCAGACUCCUACGGGAGGCUGCAGCAGGGAAUAUUGCGCAAUGAGCGAAAGCUUGACGCAGCGACACCGCGUGUGGGAUGACGGAUCUAGGUUUGUAAACCACUUUCAGGAGGGAAGAAAAUGACGGUACCUCCACAAGAAGCCCCGGCCAACUACGUGCCAGCAGCCGCGGUAAUACGUAGGGGGCGAGCGUUGUCCGGAUUUAUUGGGCGUAAAGAGCUCGUAGGCGGUUCAACAAGUCGGUCGUGAAAGUUCAGGGCUCAACCCUGAAAUGUCGAUCGAUACUGUUGUGACUAGGAUACGGUAGAGGUGAGUGGAAUUCCGAGUGUAGCGGUGAAAUGCGUAGAUAUUCGGAGGAACACCAAUUGCGAAGGCAGCUCACUGGGGCCGCUAUCGACGCUGAGGAGCGAAAGCUAGGGGAGCAAACAGGAUUAGAUACCCUGGUAGUCCUAGCUGUAAACGAUGGAUACUAGACGUAGGAACUGGGAUCGACGGUUUCUGUGUCGCAGCUAACGCGUUAAGUAUCCCGCCUGGGGAGUACGGUCGCAAGA